UGGCCCUGCCAUGGGUCCCAGGCUUCCUUACUACGUGGUCUUUUGUCUCUUCGGAGCAGGUCCCAUGGGUGCCAUGGUCACCCAGAACCCAAAAUACCAGGUCACCAGGGUGGGAAAACCCGUGACCCUGAAUUGUUUUCAGGACCUGAAUCACGACGCCAUGUACUGGUACCAACAGAAGCUGAGCCAAGCCCCCAAGCUGCUGUUCUACUACUAUGAGACGCAGUUUAAUAAUGAGACAGACACCUCCGACAACUUCCAGCCCAGCCGGACCAACACUUCCCACUGUUCUCUUGACGUCCGCUCGCCAGGCUUGGGGG